rnacentral:rRNA from 1 species
GAUGAACGCUAGCGGCAGGCCUAAUACAUGCAAGUCGAGGGGUAGAAGAGGCUUGCUUCUUUGAGACCGGCGCACGGGUGCGUAACGCGUAUGCAACCUACCUUCAUCUGGGGGAUAGCCCGGAGAAUUCCGGAUUAAUACCGCAUAAAAUCACAGGAUGGCAUUAUCCAAUGAUUAAACAUUUAUGGGAUGGGAACGGGCAUGCGUGUCACUAGCUAGUUGGCGGGGUAAAGGCCCACCAAAGCGACGAUGACUAGGGGAUCUGAGAGGAUGGCCCCCCACACUGGUACUGAGACACGGACCAGACUCCUACGGGAGGCAGCAGUAAGGAAUAUUGGUCAAUGGAGGCAACUCUGAACCAGCCAUGCCGCGUGCAGGAAGACUGCCCUAUGGGUUGUAAACUGCUUUUAUUCGGGAAUAAACCUUAUUACGUGUAAUAAGCUGAAUGUACCGAAGGAAUAAGGAUCGGCUAACUCCGUGCCAGCCGCCGCAGUAA